CCAGCUACAAUAGUCAUUUACAACAUUAACAAUGUCUACACUGUAUUUCUGAUCAAUUUGAUGUAAUUUUAAUGGACCAAAAAAUGGCUUUUCUUUCAAAAACAAGGUCAUUUCUAAGUGACCCCAAACCUUUGAACGGUAGAGAGAGAGGGGGGCAGGUAGAGAGAGAGAGUCAGAGACUGAGAGAGAGGGGGGCAGGUAGGGAGUGAGAGAGGGUCAGGUAGAGAGAGAGAGGGGGGCAGGUAGAGAGAGAGAGAGUCAGGUAGAGAGAAAGAGGUAGAGAGAGAGAGUCAGGUAGAGAGAAAGAGGUAUAGAGAGAGUCAGGUAGAGAGAGAGAGGUAGAGAGAGAGGGGGGCAGAGAGAGAGAGAGAGAGAGAGCCUGAGAGAGAGGGGCAGGUAGGGAGUGAGAGAGGGUCAGGUAGAGAGAGAGAGGGGGCAGGUAGAGAGAGAGAGAGAGAGAGAGAGAGAGAGAGAGAGAGAGGGGGCAGGUAGGGAGUGAGAGAGGGUCAGGUAGAGUGAGAGAGGGGGCAGAGAGAGAGAGAGAGAGAGAGAGAGGAGAGGCAGGUAGAGAGGGUCAGGUGAGAGAGAGGGGGGCAG
ensembl:lncRNA